GACGAACGCUGGCGGCGCGCCUAACACAUGCAAGUCGAACGGAGUCAAGAGGAGCUUGCUUUUCUUGACUUAGUGGCGAACGGGUGAGUAACGCGUGAGUAACCUGCCCUGGAGUGGGGGACAACAGUUGGAAACGACUGCUAAUACCGCAUAAGCCCACGGAUCCGCAUGGAUCUGCGGGAAAAGGAUUUAUUCGCUUCAGGAUGGACUCGCGUCCAAUUAGCUAGUUGGUGAGGUAACGGCCCACCAAGGCGACGAUUGGUAGCCGGACUGAGAGGUUGAACGGCCACAAUGGGACUGAGACACGGCCCAGACUCCUACGGGAGGCAGCAGUGGGGGAUAUUGCACAAUGGGGGAAACCCUGAUGCAGCGACGCCGCGUGGAGGAAGAAGGUUUUCGGAUUGUAAACUCCUGUCGUUAGGGACGAUAAUGACGGUACCUAACAAGAAAGCACCGGCUAACUACGUG
rnacentral:rRNA from 1 species